rnacentral:rRNA from 1 species
AACGAACGCUGGCGGCAGGCUUAACACAUGCAAGUCGAACGCCCCGCAAGGGGAGUGGCAGACGGGUGAGUAACGCGUGGGAAUCUACCGUGCCCUACGGAACAACAGUUGGAAACGACUGCUAAUACCGUAUACGCCCUGCGGGGGAAAGAUUUAUCGGGGUAUGAUGAGCCCGCGUUGGAUUAGCUAGUUGGUGGGGUAAAGGCCUACCAAGGCGACGAUCCAUAGCUGGUCUGAGAGGAUGAUCAGCCAAAUUGGGACUGAGACACGGCCCAAACUCGUACGGGGGUCCGCAGGGGGGAAUAUUAGACAAUGGGCGCAAGGCUGAUCCAGCGAUGCGGGGUGAGUGAUGAGGGACUUAGGAUUGUAAAGCACUAUCCCCGACGAAAAUAGUGACGGUAGUCGGAGAAGAAACCACGGCUAACUUCGUGCCAGCAGCCGCCGUAA